UGACAAGCUGGAACGAGUGCAGAGGAGGAUCUGGAAACCAAGCCUGAUGAGGAACGGUUGAAGGAGCUGGGUAGGUUUAGCCUGGAAAAGAGCAGACCGAGAGGAGAUUUGAUAACCAUCUUCAAAUAUCUCAAGGGCUGCCACAUGGAAGAGGGAAGACACUUGUUACCUCCUGCUCUGGAGGGUAGGACUCAAACCAAUGGCUUCAAGUUACAAGAAAGGAGAUUCCGACUGAACAUCAGGAAGACCUUUCUGAGGGUAAGAGCUGUUCAACAGGAGAACGGUCUCCUUCAGGAGGUUGUGGGCUCUCCUUCCUUGGAGGUUUUUAAGCAGAGGUUGGAUGGCCAUCUGCUAUGGAUGCUUUAGCUGAGAUUCCUGCAUUGCAGGGGAUUGAAAUAGAUGACCUGUGGGAUCCCUUCUAACUCUACAAUUCUAUGAUGCUUUGUCCAAGGGUCCCAAUCAGCAGAAUUAGCAGGAGGGACCCCCAACAAGCAUUUUGCUGCUUGAGAUGGAGAAGCGAAAGCUUAUCCACGAUCCUGGCUCCCAGUCCCCAUCUUGCUCCGGACUGAAGCUCAUGGACAAGGCAUUCAUUUCAGAACGAAUGACACUUUUCUUUUUGUGAAACAAGUUCAUGCACACACCUCUGCUGGAUGGUGGACCUUUCAGCCAGUUAACAUGAGAACAUGAGCAGAGCCCACUGGAUCAGGCCAACGGCCCAUCUAGCCUGCCACCCUCUUCUCACUGUGGCCAACCAGAUGCCUGUGAGAAACCCGCAAGCAGAACCUGAGCCCAACAGCACUUUCCCCUUCUGUGCCAGAAGGCCCCCAGCAUCUCCAAGUGGAACUGAGAAUGCCCCUUGGAUGAAACUCUGGGGAGCUGCUGCCAGUCAUUGCAAGCAGUACUAAGCUAGAUGGAGCCACUGGUCUGACUUGGUAUAAGACAGCUUCCUAUGUUUCUAAUUUCAGCUGCUAGAAAUAUCAUUGGAUGCAACCUUUAUGAGUCUAAGGAGGGAGGGCUGGGGGGGAAUAAAGAAAGAAGGGAAUUGAGAUGAAUAGUGAAGCUCCAGUCCAGGAUGAUUAUCCGCCUUUGGGGCCAGCCCGAUCACAGCAGGCAGAAUCCGACCCUUGUUUUGAACUCAUGCAUUUUUUAAGGCGGCAGUUUACAAGAACGGAAGCAGUAAACCACCGUUCGAGGCAGGAGCAGUGUUAGUGUUAAGGGUGCUUGUAAGCAUAUUGGCAGGAGCUGUGAUAGAUGAGUCCCGCUGGCAGUCUAGCGAUAAGCGGGGUGAUGCAUUAUUUAUAGCGGUCCUUCCCCUCGAUCGGCCCGGCGCACGGGGAAUGGCUCAAGCAUGCCAUGAGGAAUGAAUGAAUUAAACAAUUAAGGGCUGCUGGAGGGAACUAGAUGCUCAGGGGAGGAGGCGAUCAGAGCACCUGUGGUGUCUCUCUUUGCGAUUUGUCUCCCAGCAGGGCUGCCUGAAAUCCUGGAGGUCACUGCUGUCUGUCAGUGCAAACAGUACUGAGCUAAUAUGGAGAAAUGGUUCGAGCCAAUAGCUGAUCAGAAGGUCAGCAGUUCGAAUCCCCGCGAUGGGGUGAGCUCCCGUUGCUCGGUCUCUGCUCCUGCCAACCUAGCAGUUUGAAAGCACCUCAAAGUGCAAGUAGAUAAAUAGAUACUGCUCCGGCGGGAAGGUAAACGGCGUUUCCGUGCACUGCUCUGGUUCAUCAGAAGCGGCUUAGUUAUGCUGGCCACAUGAACCAGAAGCUGUACGCCGGCUCCCUCGGCCUAUAGAGCGAGAUGAACGCCGCAACCCCAGAGUCGGCCAUGACUGGACCUAAUGGUCAAGGGUCCCUUUACCUUUACCUUUAAUAUACAGCAGUGUCCCUAUGUUGCGAGGGAAGGGCUCACUGAGAGGGCAUCUAUUUUGUCUGCGGAAGGUUCAAUCCCCAAUAUAGGACUGGAAAUGUCCCCUGCCUGAAACCCUGGAGAGCUGCUGCCAGUCAUUGUAGACAAUAUUUAACUAGAUCAGCGGUUCUCAACCUGUGGGUCCCCAGAUGUUGUUGGACUACAACUCCCAUCAUCCCUGAGCUCUGGCCUUGCUAGCUAGGGGUGAUGGAAGUUGUAGUUCAACAACACCUGGGGACCCACAGGCUGAAAAAGGCUGAGCUAGAUGCACAUAUGAUCUGACUUCGUUUAAGGCCGUUUUCCAUGUUUUAAGGGAAGGAUGGUAUAUCGGUAGCAGAGUAUGUUUCGCAUGCAAAUUACAGAAUCAUAGAGCUGGAAGGGACCCCAAGGGCCAUCUAGUCCAAUGAAAGAAACUUAGCUAAAACAUUCAUGACAGACGGCCAUCCAGUCUCUGCUUAAAAACCUUCAAGGAAGGAGAAUCUACAACCUCCCGAGGGAGACCGUUCCACUGUUGUACAGCUCUUACCCUCAGAAAGGUCUUCCUGAUGUCUCCUCUUUUCCAGACUAAACCUACCCAGCUCUUUCAACCAUUCCUCAUCAGGAUUGGUUUCCAGACCCUCCUCUGCACUCGUUCCAGCCAGUGGCGUAGCGUGGGUUGUCAGCACCCGGGGCAAGGCAAGUAAUUUGCGCCCCCUAACCCGUGGAUUUGCGCCCCCUAACCCUAACCCCCAGAUGUUGCGCCCGGUGCGGCCGGCCCCCCCUGCACCCCCCACGCUACGCCACUGGUUCCAGCUUCUCAACAUCCAAGGAAGAGUCCAUGUAUUUGCUGUUGUUGUAGUUGUUCACCCUAAGAUCCCAGGUCUGGUCACAGCAAUUUAAAACACAACAUUAAAAGCAGUAUGCACCCUCCUGCAUUUCAGGGGGUUGGACCAGAUGAGACCCCUCCCUGCUGUAUGAUUCUAUGAAUUACAGUCGCAAGAUUAGGGUGUCUCCCAAAUGCAUAUGAGCAGAAUGUGAUGGCUUUAUGAACAAACCCCAUUCAGAAGUGAAGUCAACUGGAGGCAUGCCGAUUGGCCCAUCCUAAAUUCAUACAGUACUGGGCUGGGUUGACCAAUGGCCUGACUCAGUUAAAAGAGAGAUCUAUAUGCCUGCUGUCGCAUGCAUGCACAAAAAGGCUGGUCAGUCACGGUACAAUUGCCCUUUAAUUUGUUAAUAGUGUGGCAUAAUGACUGACAGCGUCCACGUCUCACCGACACAUGGAGAACCGAUUACGAUGACAAAUCGCUUUAAUUUGCUCAGAGAAGAAGAACGAGCUUCCAGGUCCUGUUUGGCCCUAGCUGAAAUCCUGAAGUUGCAGUGAAGGAGCCCAUCAGCGAGGGCUAUAAUUGGGGAUGGAGGGAAGCUGUCAUCAAGAGACAUUAUUUCCUGGACAUUAGCAGAGCACAGGCGGCCUCCGGAAAUAUAUUUCCUCUCCCCCACCUCUCUCUUUCUCCCUCCCCUCCAAAUCCAUUAGCAGGAUCAGCGUACUGCUGGCAGAGGGGAUGGGGGCACCUCUUGGGAGAAAUUCUUAGCUUCCUCCAUUAGUGCCUUUCAUUUCUUGGUAAUGUUUCCUUUUAAUGGUGUAUUCAUAAAGUCCUCACUGCGUGGCAGGAAAUGUUUUGGUCCUCGCCUGUCAGGAGGGAGAUGGAGGCAGGAUGUAGGAAGGAGCUGGGAGGACUUUUAAUGCAGUUACGGGAGAACUGUGAACAUAAGGAUGACUGGAUCAGGUAAAAGGGUGCCCAUCACAGGGGCCGACCGGAUGCAUGCAAGAAGCAAGCAUGACCCAAGCACAAGAGCUCUGUCCCCUCCUGUGGUUUCUAGCAACUGUGAUGUAGAGGCAUUGCUCCCUCCAAGCUUGAAGAUAGAGCAAAGGCACCAUGGCUAGCAGCCAUUGAAGCCUUCUCUUUAUGACUUUGUCUAAUCCUCUUUUAAAGCCAUCUAGGUGGGUGGAUAUCACUGCCUCCUGUGGGAGCACGUUCCACAGUUUAACUAUGUGCUGCAUGAAGAUUUUUAAAAUCCUGCCUCGAAUCUUCCAAUAGUAGAUUCUGUGCCAAGAGGUAAAAGGUAAGAGGUAAAGGUAAAGGACUCCUGGACUAUUACGCCCAGUCAGAGACGACUGUGGGGUGGCGGCGCUCAUCUUGCUUUCAGGCCGAGGGAGCCAGCGUUUGUCCACAGACAGCUUUCCGGGUCAUGUGGCCAGCAUGACUAGACCACUACUGGCGCAACAGAACACCGUGACAGAAGCCAGAGCGCACGGAAAUGCCAUUUACCUUCCUGCCGCAGCAGUACCUAUUUAUCUACUUGCACUGGCGUGCUUUCGAACUGCUAGGUUGGCAGGAGCUGGGACAGAGCAACGGGAGCUCACCCCGUCAUGGGGAUUCGAACCGCCGACCUUCUGAUUGGCAAGCCCAAGAGGUUCAGUGGUUUAGACCACAGCGCCACCCACAUCCCCAUAUAAAUCCCAUAGCUUAUGCACCGAGCGAAGAGAGACUUUAUUUUACCUGUCCUGAAUCUUCAAAUAUUCAACCUCAUUGGAUGUCGGAAGGCAUGAGAGAGGGAUAAAAACUUUUCUCCAUCCAUUUUUUCCACCUCAUGAAUAAUUCUAUAAAUGUCUAUUGUGUCACCUCUUAUUUACCAUUUGUCUAAAUGGAAAAGUCUACCCCCCGUGGUCAUUUUGGCUGCCCUUUCCAGAACCUUUUCCAACUCCACCAUAUCGUUUUUGAGGUCAGGAGGCCAGAACUGUCCACAGUCUUCCAAAUGCUGUAAGUGUGUGGCAAGGAUAGCCAAUGUGGCAUCCUCAUGGAUCACACCUCUUGUUGGCCCCAGCCAACAUGGCCAAAGGCAAGGGAUAAUGGAAGUUGGAGUCCAGCAACAUGUUUGACUAGUAGAAUUGUAGAGUUGAAAGGGACCCUGAGGGUCAUUCAGUCCAGCCCCCUGCAAUGCAGGAUUAUGCAGCAGCUGUCCCAUAUGGGGAUCGAACUUGCGACCAUGGCAUUAUCAGCACCAUGUUCUAACCAACUGAACUAACCAAGGCAUCAUGCUGGUCUAAACCACUGAGCCUCUUGGGCUUGCCGAUCAGAAGGCGAUUUGAAUCCCCACACCAGGGUGAGCUCCCGUUGCUCUGUCCCAGCUCCUGCCAACCUAGCAGUUUGAAAGCACACCAGUGCAAGAAGAUAAAUAGGUACUGCUGCAGCAGGAAGGUAAACAGCAUUUCCAUGCACUCUGCCUUCCGUCACGGUGUCCCGUUGCGCCAGAAGUGAUUCAGUCAUUCUGGCCACAUGACCCGGAAAGCUGUCUGCGGACAAAUGCCGGCUCCUUCGGCCUGAAAGUGAGAUGAGCGCUGCAAUCCUGUAGUCGCCUUUGACUGGACUUAACUGUCUAGGGGUCCUUUACCUUUUACCUUUAGCCCUGUUGAAAGAACACAGGUCACAAUGUGUGUGCCUUUCAGAAAAGGGCAAGUGAAAUAAUCAAGGGUGACUCCCUGAUGACGAAACAUUGCAACAUUUGGGGCUUUUCAGUUUGGAGAAAAGGCAAGUCAGAGAUGACAUAGCAUGGAGAAAGUGGACAGAUAUAUAUUUUUUCCUCCCUCCCCUGUAACACUAGAACUUGGAGGCAUCCGAUGAAGCUGAAUGUUGGAAGAUUCAAGACAAAUAAGAGAAAAUCCUUCUUCAUACAGCCCAUAGUUAAACUGUGGAACUCGCUCCCACAAGAGAGUAGUGACGGCCACCAACUUGGAUGGCGUUGAAAGAGGAUUGGACAAAUUCAUGGCUACCAAAGUCUUCCUAUCAGCCUUUGGCUGGCCUCUGUGAGAACAGGAUGCUGGACGAGAUGGGCCUCUGGUCUGAUGCCGCAGAGCUCCCCUUACAUCCUCGGCUGAAUUGGUAACAGAACGAACCUUUUUCAGAGUAAAGUGGAAACGCUGAGCCUCUGUGCGCAGCUGAUUGGUAUUCAGCAAGAUCCUCAGGUGCUUAAUAGGAAAGCAACACAAAUCCACAACAAAACAAAACAAAGCCUUUAUUAAUUUCCCACCCCCUUCCCUGCAAAGUUCAGGAGCGUGAGAGUAAUCACAGUAUCGAAUCAUCACCAUCAUAAUCAUAUAAAAGGCCCUCUGUCGAAAAUAGUCUGUUAAGGCUCCCAGAGAGUUCAGCGGGGAAAGAUUGCAUUAAGAUAAAGUAGAUUAUAACACCGGUGGACAUUCAAGCCUGUCAUUGUAGGGCGACUCACAUUGGGAAGUCCCCAAAGCUGCUUUUAAACAUGGGCAGGGGGCUGUGGCUGCUAGUGGGGGUGUGUGUGGAAUGGAAGGUCUUUAAAGGCAUGUUGGAACACUGAGAUGGAAGAAGGAUAAUUUUUUUAAAAUGUUUGGAACACUACUGGAAUGAAAAAAGAGGGAUUGAGAGAGCUAUGGCACUAGUCAUGAUGGCUUGGCUCUGCCUCCACAGUUGGAGGGGUCAAUAUUUCUGAAUCAUGGGUGUAGCCGGGGGGGACGGGGG